rnacentral:rRNA from 1 species
UACGUAGGGUGCAAGCGUUGUCCGGAAUUAUUGGGCGUAAAGAGCUCGUAGGCGGUCUGUCGCGUCGGAUGUGAAAAUCCAGGGCUCAACCCUGGACCUGCAUUCGAUACGGGCAGACUAGAGUUCGGUAGGGGAGACUGGAAUUCCUGGUGUAGCGGUGAAAUGCGCAGAUAUCAGGAGGAACACCGGUGGCGAAGGCGGGUCUCUGGGCCGGUAUUGACGCUGAGACGCGAAAGCGUGGGGAGCGAACAGG